rnacentral:rRNA from 1 species
AGUCGACGGACCCUUCGGGGUUAGUGGCGGACGGGUGAGUAACACGUGGGAACGUGCCUUUUGGUUCGGAAUAGCUCCUGGAAACGGGUGGUAAUGCCGAAUGUGCCCUUUGGGGGAAAGAUUUAUCGCCAUUAGAGCGGCCCGCGUCUGAUUAGCUAGUUGGUGAGGUAAAGGCUCACCAAGGCGACGAUCAGUAGCUGGUCUGAGAGGAUGACCAGCCACAUUGGGACUGAGACACGGCCCAAACUCCUACGGGAGGCAGCAGUGGGGAAUCUUGCGCAAUGGGCGAAAGCCUGACGCAGCCAUGCCGCGUGAAUGAUGAAGGUCUUAGGAUUGUAAAAUUCUUUCACCGGGGACGAUAAUGACGGUACCCGGAGAAGAAGCCCCGGCUAACUUCGUGCCAGCAGCCGCGGUAAUACGAAGGGGGCUAGCGUUGCUCGGAAUUACUGGGCGUAAAGGGAGCGUAGGCGGACAUUUAAGUCAGGGGUGAAAUCCCAGAGCUCAACUCUGGAACUGCCUUUGAUACUGGAUGUCUUGAGUGUGAGAGAGGUAUGUGGAACUCCGAGUGUAGAGGUGAAAUUCGUAGAUAUUCGGAAGAACACCAGUGGCGAAGGCGACAUACUGGCUCAUUACUGACGCUGAGGCUCGAAAGCGUGGGGAGCAAACAGGAUUAGAUACCCUGGUAGUCCACGCCGUAAACGAUGAUUGCUAGUUGUCGGGAUGUUUACAUCUCGGUGACGCAGCUAACGCAUUAAGCAAUCCGCCUGGGGAGUACGGUCGCAAGAUUAAAACU